rnacentral:ribozyme from 1 species
AGGUAUACUCAUAUUAUUCUCUUACAAUAUAAUUCUUUAACGAACCGAAAAAAAAAGAAAAAAAAGCUACGACCUGAGUUGACUGAUCAAGUGAUGCAUAUUGUUCAGACGAAUAUUUUGGUUCAAAAAUGCUUCG